UACGAAGGGUGCUAGCGUUGUUCGGAAUUACUGGGCGUAAAGCGUGCGUAGGUUGUAUGGUUAGUUAGUGGUGAAAGCCCAGAGCUUAACUCUGGAAUUGCCAUUAAAACUGCCAUGCUAGAGAGUGUUAGAGGUAAGUGGAAUUCCUAGUGUAGGAGUGAAAUCCGUAGAUAUUAGGAGGAACAUCAAUGGCGAAGGCAGCUUACUGGGUCACAUCUGACACUGAGGCACGAAAGCGUGGGUAGCAAACAGG
rnacentral:rRNA from 1 species